AUUGAACGCUGGCGGCAGGCUUAACACAUGCAAGUCGAGCGGAGUGAUGGUGCUUGCACUAUCACUUAGCGGCGGACGGGUGAGUAAUGCUUAGGAAUCUGCCUAUUAGUGGGGGACAACAUCUCGAAAGGGAUGCUAAUACCGCAUACGUCCUACGGGAGAAAGCAGGGGAUCACUUGUGACCUUGCGCUAAUAGAUGAGCCUAAGUCGGAUUAGCUAGUUGGUGGGGUAAAGGCCUACCAAGGCGACGAUCUGUAGCGGGUCUGAGAGGAUGAUCCGCCACACUGGGAAUGAGACACGGCCCAGACUCCUACGGGAGGCAGCAGUGGGGAAUAUUGGGCAAUGGGGGGAACCCUGAUCCAGCCAUGCCGCGUGUGUGAAGAAGGCCUUAUGGUUGUAAAGCACUUUAAGCGAGGAGGAGGCUCUUUUGGUUAAUACCCAAGAUGAGUGGACGUUACUCGCAGAAUAAGCACCGGCUAACUCCGUGCCAGCCGCCGCAGUAA
rnacentral:rRNA from 1 species